CAACCUCCAUGCAAUUGUAACAAUUCUUCACCUUCCACAGAUUAUUAAUAAUGUCUUGGUAAUUGCUGAACACAACCGUUAAUGUCAUUACAGGAAGAUGAUGGAGAAACAUUGUCUGCGGCAUUCGAAAGGGAAGAGGAAAGGCCUAUUGAGGAUGAAAUCGAAUCCAAUGAGAGGCCAUCCACUUCUAAAUCACAGCUUACCUCUGUAAGAUUCUCCCUGGAAUUAUAAUGAAACGCUCUACUUGGCACUGUGAAAUCCAAUCUCAUCUUUUGCAUUCCUAUAGCUUCCAGUCAAAGACUUAUAUAAAAUCUAUCUAGAAAAGCAAAUACACAAAGCAGACUUGGAAAUGGACCACCUUAGGCAAAAGAUGCAAAAGGAUGCUUUGGAGAUCCACAUUUUGGAACAUAAGUUAAAGG